AACGCGAAGAACCUUACCUGGGUUUGACAUUUAGGGAAAAGCCGUAGAGAUACGGUGUCCUUCGGGGUCCUAAACAGGUGGUGCAUGGCUGUCGUCAGCUCGUGUCGUGAGAUGUUGGGUUAAGUCCCGCAACGAGCGCAACCCUUAUUCUAUGUUGCCAGCGCGUAAUGGCGGGGACUCGUAGGAGACUGCCGGGGUCAACUCGGAGGAAGGUGGGGACGACGUCAAGUCAUCAUGCCCCUUAUAUCCAGGGCUGCACACAUGCUACAAUGGCUGGUACAACGGGUCGCUAAUCCGCGAGGAGGAGCUAAUCCCCAAAGCCAGUCUCAGUUCGGAUCGCAGUCUGCAACUCGACUGCGUGAAGUCGGAGUCGCUAGUAAUCCCGGAUCAGCAACGCCGGGGUGAAUACGUUCCCGGGCCUUGUACACACCGGACACGC
rnacentral:rRNA from 1 species